rnacentral:rRNA from 1 species
CGGGACGGGUGAGUAAUGUCUGGGAAACGUGCCUGAUGGAGGGGGAUAACUACUGGAAGCGGUAGCUAAUACCGCAUAACGUCGCAAGACCAAAGAGGGGGACCUUCGGGCCUCUUGCCAUCGGAUGUGCCCAGAUGGGAUUAGCUAGUAGGUGGGGUAAAGGCUCACCUAGGCGACGAUCCCUAGCUGGUCUGAGAGGAUGACCAGCCACACUGGAACUGAGACACGGUCCAG